UCAAUAUGAUUUUAGAAGAAUGAUUGGAUUUAGAAUUAAGUCGAUUCGCACCCCGGAGAAAAUUUGUUUUAAUUCAGAUAAAUGGUUUGUUAAAAUUUUGAGGCAAAUUUGUUAAUGGGCCUUAUUUGAUUAUGAUGUGGGAUCAUUUAUCUUUUUAUAGUGGGCCGAAUUAUUAUUUUUGGAGGCCCAAAUCCAUUACUAUUACAGAUAUUUUCACAAGCUUAUCAGAAUAUCAUCAAAAGCCAUUUUUUUUGUAUCUGAUGAUUAAUGGAAGGGGGUUCAUCCACGUUGCCAAUUUCCUUCUACAAAAUCCCCCAUCAAAGUAUGAAAUUUCUCACUCGAGCUUUUCACCGAGGAUCAGCAGUAGAGCUCUUCUCUUCCUCAAUCAUUCCAUAAGAAAAUUUCCAUCAUAUUCUUAUCAUCCACAGACAACAACCCACAAAAUCAACCAUCAUCAAGAAAUCGAAAGUCUAUUCCCAACCACAGUUCGUUAUAUUCUUUUUGCCACUCAAUCACAUCUCUUUGAUGAAGAACUCUAUUCAAUAGCAAAAUCCUUGAGAAAAGGUCAUACAGAAGAGGAUAUUUAGGCUCUUGUCCAGCUGAGUUAUUUGUUUGGAUUUUCUCCAAAUCAGGUGAGGCUUUAUUUACGAAAUGUAUGUUUGAGCUAAUAAGCUCGAUUUUAUGUAAAGUUAAAGUUGAUGGUUCAUGCUUAAAAUGUUUUUGCUCUCUAUUGGUUAUUGCUUCUACCAGAACAUUGUUGGCUCCGCCAACCAGAACAUUGUUAGCUCUGCUAACCAGAAUUGUGUACGUACACCAGAACCUGUUGUCUCGAGAGAUCGGUGACAACCAGUUGUAGAUAGCAUGCCCAAUAGAUGGCCAGGAAAAUAUGAGCUCAGAUUAUUUUAGUAUGCAUGGAAUGACUCAUCUUUAAAAACAUUCUGUGUUAUACUGUUUAAGGCAUGAAUUAUCUUUUUCAGUAAAUGAUAUUUAAAAUGUUUUUAAAUGGCUCAACCCACUGAGUACACUAGUACUCAGCCCUGCAAUUGUUUUCAAAACCUUUUGCAGAUUGAGCAGCUGGUGGUGACGUGCGAAGCUGAGGAAAGGUUGUUGCUGUAAUAUUGAAGAACACUCUGUUUUACUUCCGCUGAAAUAAAUUCACUUAGUGAAUAUUAUCUGAUGCCUAACUAUAUUAAUACUUUUAUUCAUAUUUAUAAUAUGAAUUUCAUUCUCCAUCACUUUUCUAGCGAUUGUUUUCCCGCAUCUAUUAUAUGCUUUGUAUGAGACGUUGUCUUGGUCUCAGACCUUCGAACUUCCGAUCCUGAUAGGGAGAAUAAUUAUGUUAUAAUGUCGUACUUGCUC